AGCGUAUUUUGCGCAGGCGGAGCUCGACCGCCCAUUUCGGAAAUGAUCCGGUUUAUCAAAGAGCGCCGGGAAGUGUGUGGGGUCGACGUCUCG
rfam:Roseovarius mucosus DSM 17069 Contig98, whole genome shotgun sequence.